UACGAAGGGGACUAGCGUUGUUCGGAAUCACUGGGCGUAAAGCGCACGUAGGCGGAUGUGUCAGUCAGGGGUGAAAUCCCGGGGCUCAACCUCGGAACUGCCUUUGAUACAGCACGUCUCGAGUCCGGAAGAGGUGGGUGGAAUUCCUAGUGUAGAGGUGAAAUUCGUAGAUAUUAGGAAGAACACCGGUGGCGAAGGCGGCCCACUGGUCCGGUACUGACGCUGAGGUGCGAAAGCUAGGGGAGCGAACAGG
rnacentral:rRNA from 1 species